rnacentral:rRNA from 1 species
UACGUAGGCAGCGAGCGUUGUUCGGAGUUACUGGGCGUAAAGGGUGUGUAGGCGGUUGUUUAAGUUUGGUGUGAAAUCUCCCGGCUCAACUGGGAGGGUGCGCCGAAUACUGAAUGACUUGGAGUGCGGGAGAGGUGAGUGGAAUUCCUGGUGUAGCGGUGAAAUGCGUAGAUAUCAGGAGGAACACCGGUGGUGUAGACGGCUCACUGGACCUAACUGGACGCUGAGACACGAAAGCGUGGGUAGCAAACAGG